UACGUAGGGGGGCAAGCGUUUGUCCGGAUUUAUUGGGCGUAAAGAGCGUGUAGGCGGCCAGACAGGUCCGUUGUGAAAACUAGAGGCUUAACCUCUAGACGUCGAUGGAAACCGUCUGGCUAGAGUCCGGAAGAGGAGAAUGGAAUUCCUGGUGUAGCGGUGAAAUGCGCAGAUAUCAGGAAGAACACCCGUGGCUAAGGCGGUUCUCUAGUACGGUACUGACGCUGAGACGCGAAAGCGUGGGGAGCGAACAGG
rnacentral:rRNA from 1 species